UAGUGGCGGACGGGUGAGUAACACGUGGGAAUCUGCCUUUAAGUGGGGGAUAACUGGCCGAAAGGCUAGCUAAUACCCCAUACGUCGCAAGAUAAAAGCAGCAAUGCGCUUGAAGAUGAGCCCGCGUCCGAUUAGCUAGUUGGUAGGGUAAAAGCCUACCAAGGCACCGAUCGGUAGCUGGUCUGAGAGGAUGAUCAGCCACAAUGGGACUGAGACACGGCCCAUACUCCUACGGGAGGCAGCAGUGGGGAAUUUUACACAAUGGGCGAAAGCCUGAUGUAGCGACACCGCGUGAGCGAAGAAGCCCCUUGGGGUGUAAAGCUCUGUCAGCAGGGACGAAAAAAAUGACGGUACCUGCAGAGGAAGCAUCGGCUAACUACGUGCCAGCAGCCGCGGUAAGACGUAGGAUGCAAGCGUUGUCCGGAUUUAUUGGGCGUAAAGAGUUCGUAGGCGGUUCAUUAAGUUUGGUGUAAAAGACGGGGGCUCAACCCUCGGAUCGCACUGAAUACUGGUGGACUCGAGUGGAGUAGAGGCAAGCGGAAUUCCCAGUGUAGCGGUGAAAUGCGUAGAUAUUGGGAAGAACACCGGUGGCGUAAGCGGCUUGCUGGGCUUUAAC
rnacentral:rRNA from 1 species